rnacentral:lncRNA from 1 species
AUGUAUAUAAUGACUGGAAACCCUCACCUUCUCUUCCACAAUAUGAGAUCCAUGAGCACCGUCGCAGGAAGGAAGCACUUGGUCUCAUCCAUCUUCAUUCUGUGUUUCUUCUUGCUUCUUUGCAUGGAACAACAUCCUGUUGUGGAGGCAAGGUUUCUGAAGUUAGGGUUACAGUAUUAUCCCAAUCAUGGCGUUCUAUUCCAGAUUCUGCGCACUUGUUCUCGCCCUUCUUGUGAAACCAACGGAUCUGUUCCAUGUCCGCCAUGUCGCUAAAAAUUAGCUACUAGCUAGGUGUAUGCAUGUAUAUAUGGGAAUUUCCAUACUUAAUGUUUCAUCGAUAAUGACUUCAAAUCGAUUGAAUUUCGAAUUUAUACCAUAUUUAAUUUUAAUUUGUAUUAUUUGUUUGCCAUUUUGAAGCAUACAUUUUGCCACCUACUUUAUUAUCUAAUUCAUUGAACUAACUAAAACACUUAAUUCGAUCAUGGUUAAAUGAAAGUCUCAAAGACAUGUGUACAAAUUAUGUUUGAUUUCUAUCAAACAUAAUAACCUUGGUUUUCUUACCUUUUAACUCGACUGACUGGUCAAAGUAAUAUAAGCUAUUAAGGUUUCUGAAUAUUCACACUUUAGAUUUUAAUUUUUAUUAAAUUUUUACUACGAUGUAAAAAUUUAUGACUCCAUCUCCGGUCUAUAUCAUUCCAAGUUAGUUA